AGUGAACGCUGGCGGUAGGCCUAACACAUGCAAGUCGAACGGCAGCACAGGAGAGCUUGCUCUCUGGGUGGCGAGUGGCGGACGUGUGAGGAAUACAUCGGAAUCUACUUUUUCGUGGCGGAUAACGUAGGGAAACUUACGCUAAUACCGCAUACGAGCUACGGGUGAGAGCGAGGGAUCUUCGGACCUUGCGCGAUUGAAUGAGCAGAUGUCGGAUUAGCUAGUUGGCGGGGUAAAGGCCCACCAAGGGGACGAUCCGUAGCUGGUCUGAGAGGAUGAUCAGCCACACUGGAACGGAGACACGGUCCAGACUCCUACGGGAGGCAGCAGUGGGGAAUAGUGGACAAUGGGCGCAAGCCUGAUCCAGCCAUACCGCGUGGGUGAAGAAGGCCUUCGGGUUGUAAAGCCCUUUUGUUGGGAAAGAAAUCCAGCUGGUUAAUACCCGGUUGGGAUGACGGUACCCAAAGAAUAAGCACCGGCUAACUUCGUGCCAGCCGCCGCCGUAA
rnacentral:rRNA from 1 species